UACGGAGGGGGCUAGCGUUGCUCGGAAUCACUGGGCGUAAAGGGUGCGUAGGCGGGUCUUUAAGUCAGGGGUGAAAUCCUGGAGCUCAACUCCAGAACUGCCUUUGAUACUGAAGAUCUUGAGUUCGGGAGAGGUGAGUGGAACUGCGAGUGUAGAGGUGAAAUUCGUAGAUAUUCGCAAGAACACCAGUGGCGAAGGCGGCUCACUGGCCCGAUACUGACGCUGAGGCACGAAAGCGUGGGGAGCAACAGGGAUAAGA
rnacentral:rRNA from 1 species